rnacentral:rRNA from 1 species
GAUGAACGCUGGCGGCGUGCCUAAUACAUGCAAGUCGAGCGAACAGACGAGGAGCUUGCUCCUCUGACGUUAGCGGCGGACGGGUGAGUAACACGUGGAUAACCUACCUAUAGGACUGGGAUAACUUCGGGAAACCGGAGCUAAUACCGGAUAAUAUAUUGAACCGCAUGGUUCAAUAGCGAAAGACGGUUUUGCUGUCACUUAUAGAUGGAUCCGCGCCGCAUUAGCUAGUUGGUAAGGUAACGGCUUACCAAGGCAACGAUGCGUAGCCGACCUGAGAGGGUGAUCGGCCACACUGGAACUGAGACACGGUCCAGACUCCUACGGGAGGCAGCAGUAGGGAAUCUUCCGCAAUGGGCGAAAGCCUGACGGAGCAACGCCGCGUGAGUGAUGAAGGUCUUCGGAUCGUAAAACUCUGUUAUUAGGGAAGAACAAAUGUGUAAGUAACUAUGCACGUCUUGACGGUACCUAAUCAGAAAGCCACGGCUAACUACGUG